UCUGCAUCUUAUCUGAUUCCUUCUUCUCUGGCGUGAGGCGGCCCUCCGCCUUGGCCCUGCUCCGACGAGCGGCGGCCCUCGUGAUGGCCGCCUGUUCUGCUGUCCGCGCGGCGCGGAGUUCCAGCUGCGGGGCUGCCGUCCGCCCGUGCCGCCGCGCCGCAGGCGAAGGCUCUGGCAGCAGCAUGGCGGCUCCGGCUGGGACGCGCUUCGCUUGUCCGCAAUGCUGCGGCAGCUGGACACUCGGCGCUCGCCCGCGGGUUUGAGCUCUGUGGCAGCAGCAUGCCUUAUCCGGCAAGACAGACAGGGGGUAUUGUCUUCUUUUCAGCACGAACGGCCACUUAGAGGCAUUUGGUGACAUGAUGAUUCUAGGAGCACGACCGGCAUGCCUACUUUCAGCUUCAGCUUGUGGUUUGGGAUACCAAGGAACUUCAAGCUAUUUAGAAAUUCUGUAGGAUACAUCUGGUCCAUACUGUUGUUGUUUGUAGAUUCUUUGCACACGGUGUCCGAGCUAUGGAUUUGUUUAAAGUCUCCUCCCAGCACAACAGUCAUCCCACCGAAUGGUUUUUCAUUGAUGUUCAGUGUACUAAAGGCAUGAAAGAGAAAAGGUUCGUAUGAUACUUGCCAGAAGUAUGCUCCAAUUGAGAUUUUUGUCUCUCACGAAUUGUUGUGGUUCCGGGUGCUUUGUUUAAUGAACAGUAAUGCUACAAAUCAAUAUGCUUGCAUAAGCAAUCAGUUAAAAAUAUAAUUCUUGAUUUUCGAAGUUGAAGAGGAACGAUGUAAAAUACCUGGUCUUUUAUCGGUUGAUGAUGGUUGUAUCUAUUUUCUGAGAAACGCUACGGAAUUAGAUUAGUAUAUUGGAAGAAAGCA